rnacentral:rRNA from 1 species
GAUGAACGCUGGCGGCGUGCUUAACACAUGCAAGUCGAACGAAGAUGCCGGCGUGCUUGCACUUUGGCAGACUGAGUGGCGGACGGGUGAGUAACGCGUGGGUAACCUGCCUUAUACAGGGGGAUAACAGUUGGAAACGACUGCUAAUACCGCAUAAGCGCACGGUAUCGCAUGAUACAGUGUGAAAAACUCCGGUGGUAUAAGAUGGACCCGCGUCUGAUUAGCUGGUUGGUGAGGUAACGGCUCACCAAGGCGACGAUCAGUAGCCGGCCUGAGAGGGUGAACGGCCACAUUGGGACUGAGACACGGCCCAAACUCCUACGGGAGGCAGCAGUGGGGAAUAUUGCACAAUGGGGGAGACCCUGAUGCAGCGACGCCGCGUGAGUGAUGAAGUAUUUCGGUAUGUAAAACUCUAUCAGCAGGGAAGAUAAUGACGGUACCUGACUAAGAAGCACCGGCUAAAUACGUGCCAGCCGCCGCGGUAA